AUGAAGUUGUACUUAGAAACAUGAUUUUGAGGAAAAAAGUUAGAAUUAAGAUGAUGUUUGUAAGAAACAUAAAAUCGACACAACUGUUUUUUUAAAUAAUUAUAUAGUUAUGCAACUAAUGAGAAAAAAUACUUAUGAGAUAUCGAUGAAUCAGCAAGAGAUUUAAAUAUUAUAAAGAAAAUUAAAAAAAAAAAAAAGAAUUAUUUUAGUAAAAUUUCUUGUAUACUUGUGUACUAACAAUUCUUUCAUUUAAAUUUAUUCUAAUAUGAAAGAAUUUUUAAUAAUUAGUAGAGAAAUUACACGUGCUGAUGUACCAGAAAAAAAGAAGGUUAAUAGCCAGAAUAAAUCUGGCCUCGAUGUUGCGUUUAAAUUUCAUUUUUUAUUUUACAUUCAUUUUGUCAAAAGAUCUUCAUUUAAAAUAAUCUUUUCGAAUUCUGACAAGAUAAUCAGACCGAUGGAUUAUAAUUUAAACGCGCUUUGUAUAUCUGGAUAGAGAUAAUUCAACUUCGUAUAAUUAAAAUAAAAAGUGUUUAUUAACGUUUUAAAUUGUUUCUUGCGAAAAGGAGAAAAUAUAAAUAUAAAUUUAUAAUUAAAUUGAUUAUAUUGAUUAUAAAUUGAUUCAAUGGGUAGAUUAAUUACAAGAGAAAAAGUUUUAAUCAGGAAAAACAAGUACUAUCAGUACUUCUUAGAAGUAUUAAAAAUGUUGCAAUGACAAAUAUAUAAUCAAGUAAUUUUUUUUCUCUCAAUUGUCCUUGAAUAAUUUUUCAUUAAUUACUAUUUCCUAUAAAUAUACACGCAUCUUUCAUGUAUUAUUCCAAGAAAUGUUUCGACACAUCAGUCAUAAAUCAACAUGAUAUUACAUCGAAUUUCUCUUUCUAUAAAUAUCUCAUUUUAUAAUCGAUAACACCUCGUAAUAAAUUUUCAUCAAAAUUCGAGCAACGCGGUAAGAAAAAUCGUUAUACAAAGGUAACGAAAAAAUUUACUCCCCAUAUUUCUCACCAAUCAUAUUUCAAACCAGUGUUUCUCAACCACGAGUAUUCAAAUCACGUUUCAAUCUUUGACACACUGCUACAUAUAAUAAUAAUAAU